UCCGUGCUCCACACCAACUGCACGACGCCCUGCAAAACCGCCCCCGCUGCACCGUUGGUCUGGCGCCUUCCUCCACGGUUUCCUCCACGUCGUGGGUCUUCAUUUCCUUUCCUGGAUUGGAUCAGUUGCCAACUUUGCUAUCAGAGACCCAUCCAAACCAGGCAACUCUUCUUGUACGGUCCCACCAACACACAAAUCUUCUCUUUCACUUUAUUUCCAAGGCAAUUAGGAUUUGCCAGUUCCGGACAGACUUACUUCACUGGCGCACAUGAUCACUUCGACCUAUGGCUUUUUGAUAAUUUCGAUCAGACAAAAGCUGAGAGUGGUGCUCUAGCUGGCAAAUAAAGAGAAGACUUGUUUUGGUUGCCUUGGAAGUUCAUGAGAUAGCAGCCUUUGUGCUCACUUCUGCUAGGGCAAUUACCAGGAAAUGCUCUAAUUAUUACUUAUCCGAUGAAUCUGUAGCCCUGUUUGCAGAACAUGUUCCAAGCAGACCUAACUACAUUGUUGGACAAAUUGUGCAUAUCGAACACCAGAUUGUGAAGGCGGCACCCCUCGACUUGAACAUGACAGGACUGAAGAAGAAGAAAAAAAAAAAGGACAUUACUGUCUCGGUUCAGGCUAAAAAUAAAAAAUGUUACUGCUUCGGUUAAUUUUGAACUGAGGCAAAAUCCUACCAUUUUAUGUCUCGGGAACCGAAAUAUAAAGUCUACCACUUUUUACCUCG